rnacentral:rRNA from 1 species
GAUGAACGCUGGCGGCGUGCCUAAUACAUGCAAGUAGAACGCUGAAGCUUGGUGCUUGCACCGAGCGGAUGAGUUGCGAACGGGUGAGUAACGCGUAGGUAACCUGCCUCUUAGCGGGGGAUAACUAUUGGAAACGAUAGCUAAUACCGCAUAAAAGUCGACAUCGCAUGAUGUUGACUUGAAAGGUGCAAUUGCAUCACUAAGAGAUGGACCUGCGUUGUAUUAGCUAGUUGGUGAGGUAACGGCUCACCAAGGCGACGAUACAUAGCCGACCUGAGAGGGUGAUCGGCCACACUGGGACUGAGACACGGCCCAGACUCCUACGGGAGGCAGCAGUAGGGAAUCUUCGGCAAUGGGGGCAACCCUGACCGAGCAACGCCGCGUGAGUGAAGAAGGUUUUCGGAUCGUAAAGCUCUGUUGUAAGAGAAGAACGAGUGUGAGAGUGGAAAG